rnacentral:lncRNA from 1 species
GAUAAGGUUGCUAGAAUAAAAGAGAAAGAAAAAGAAAAGAUAAGGAUUAGAUGAGAAAGGGAGAGAAAGAAGAAAUGGGAGGAAGAGAGGGAGAGAAAAGGGAAGUGGCCGAAGCCCUUGUGUGGGAAGAGGAGGAGAUGGAAGGAUCUCCAUGAAGAAGAAGGAAGAAGGAGAAGAAAAGAAAGGUAUAACAUCUCUCUCUAAUCUCUUUCUAUGGAAUUUUUAUGAAAGGGGGUUUUGAUUUGGAUGUUCAAACCCUUAAGAUCUAUGUGUUUUCUAUGGAUUUAUGUAUGGAUUUACUCAUUUUUGAUGUUGAUUUGGGUGAAUCAAAAGAAUAAAGAAAAUUUAUUUUCUAGUUUUGAAUCCGAAAUUUCCUAGUACUUUGAAAUUUCACCGUUUUAAAUCUAUGACUUCUUUUUGCGAUCCGUCAAAAAGGGAUGUUAGAUAUAUGUGUUUAGUAGUUAACCCAAGUGGUAGUACUCAAAAAUGUUGAGUUUACAUGGGGUAGUGACUGAUUUGGUGAAAACAGUUCCGUUUUUAUAACCAAAAAUGGGCAGAUUCGGGGCAGUCAGUAGCGAGGGCAAUUUCGUCCAGUUUUUGUGCUUUAAAAAUUCUGGGCUUUUGGUAUGUUGUAGUACUCUGAUUUAGCUUUCCAUAGACUCCGGAACGGACUAAUUCCGAUUCCGGAUGAGGUAGUUAUGGCGUUCGGGAGAUGUGUAUCAAAACUGUUAAUCAAAUUCCGAACAGCCACCUUUGUGUAAAUUUCUGGACUGAUGUGUUAUGAUUUUGGAAAAAUGUCGUGAGACAAAAGUUGUAGCCCUGGAAGUUAUCUUCGCGUGGGCUCAAGAAUCGCUCAAAAAUGUUUUAAAACGCGAGAGUUAUGGCUGUUUUAGUGAGGCUGGGUAAAAAUUUUAAAAAAAAUCAAAAGUGUCCAAAAAUAGGAAAAAUGCGAUGUAUGAAGUGAGACCCGUGAGCAUGGCGUAUGCAAGUUUGUAAUGAAGUUUUGGGUCGGGUUUAAGGUGUUGUGAUGUUUAUGACAUUUUAAAAUGUUUAAACAAGUUUAUUAAUUACGGGAAGGAAAACAAUUGAAAUAAUUGUUUAUUUAAGUGAUUAAUGACAUAAAUUAUUUUUAUGUGACUAAUAAUAUGGUAUUGAGAUAUUAUUAGUAGUAUGUGACUGGAAUGUUAUUAAAAGGUUAGUAACCUUAGCGUAAAAUAUUAUUACAUAAUUAAUAAUAUUUGACGGGAGAUUUAAUAAGAGAUUUAUGAUAUUUUUCAAUGUAAUUGUUGAAAUUGAUAUUCAAUGAAGUAUAUUAUGUGUUUGGGCAUAUGAUAGAGAAAUAAUAAGUCAUAAUAAUCUAAUAAAGUCUUAUGGUGCGAAAUUUGACUAUAAGUAAUAUUUUAUGCCGAGAAACUUUCUUUCAGGCAUAAAUAAAGCAAUAAAAAUAUGUAAUAAAUAUAAAUUACAUAUUUAAGCGAAAAAUAUAUAUAUAUAUAUAUAUAGUUGCCUAUAAAAAUUAUUUUGUGGUGGAACAAAGAAUGUAAAACCUUUGAAAUAUUGUAUUAAUCAUAAAAAUGAUAUUUUGAGGUUUUCGGUGCUCAAAAUGAAGUUUUUGAGCUGAGAUUUACGUAACGAAGCAAAAAUGCGAAUAAUCGUAAAAUGAAAAAUAAAGCGAAUGUGCUAGUGAGAUAAAAUGUUUAUAUAUGAGGCAAUAGUCAGUGUUGACUCAUGAACGGACAAACUGAAGUAAAAGUUAUUUAAAGUGAAGAAAUAAUAUAGUAAAUUGAUUUUUACUAUAAAAGCUAUACAUUAGCUGUUUAAACUCCGAAUUUGCGAGUAGAGGUAAAAGAUAUUUCUGAAAUGAAAUUUAAAUGGUUUAAGUUUCAAGAUGUAAAGUAUUUGCAUCUUAAAAUGUGUGAGACCUUUAUUAUUUAUGAAACAAGUAAAAUAUUAUUACAUGAUUAAUAAUAUUAGAAGGUGAUUACAAUAUUAUUAAAUGAUUAAUAAUAUUAGUAAAGGAUUUAAAUAUUAUUAAAUGAUUAAUAAUAUUUGUAAAUGAUAAAUAUUCUAUAAAAAGAAUAUUAGGCAAAAGUUUAAGAUAAUGGAUAAGUGAUAGUAAUAUUAUUAAGGGAUAAUAAUAUUACUAAUGAGUUAAAGAAUUAUUUAAUGUUUAAUUAUGUGGCUAAAUGUUAGCUAAUUUAUUAUUUGAGUAAUAGUGUUGUGGGAUAAAAUGUAUUAUGCUAAUUGGAGGAUCGAUCUUAUUAAUGAUAGGUCUUUUAUAAGAGAUUAAAUUGAUUGCUUAGCGGUAAUCAACGGUACAGGCAAGUUCCUAAACUUGAACUUCUAAUUAUUGUGCAAGUUUCCUAACUCAACUUGAGUUAAUUCAAAGCAUGUUAGUGGUUAAUUAUUGUUGAUUAUACCACGUCAAUAAUUUAUUGAUUCGCACAUUGUGCAUGUUGUUUAUGUUCAUCAGGUAUGAAAGGCUGAUCACCUUCAUUACCAUAGGUUUCAGUUAAACUUGUUCAUGUUAAUUGUUGACAUCCAAUAUCAUUGGUUCAGUCAUUCAAUCAUUGAAACUUGAUUCAUGUUAUUUCACAAUUAUUAUAUUGUUGAAAACUUGAAAGCUUAUUCAUUCUUUUCAAUCAUGAUAUAUCUCCAUUGUAUGUAAAACUUGCUGGGCAAAUUUGUUGCUCACCCUUGCUAUAUCAUGAUAAAAUUUUCAGAUUAAGAUGAAGGCUUGAAUAAGGACAGAGGCAAAGACAAAGUGCAAAGUUUUUUUUUAUGUUGCAGUUAGAUUUAUUAAAUUUUCUGACGAAAAUAGUAUUGUAAACCUUUUUAAUAUUGAAGGUAUGUAUUAAGUUAAGGUUGUAGACCUUGGGACUGAUGUGUAAAGUUUAAUGUAUAAACAAUGUAUGUUUAUAUCUUCCGCAAUAGUUAUAGAAAUAGCGUACCGGAUCCGCGGCGAUUUGGGACCCGGAUUCGG